UAAACAAACUGAUUUUUAUCUUUGUAGAUGUUUUAUCUGAAGAUGAGAGUUUUUUCAGAGGAUGUGCUCCUCCCACACUGUGUCCAAACAACGGCACCUUUAACUUUUCUACUGAUGUGUUUGAUUCACAUAAAAUCAUAGAUGCUGAAUGCUGCGACACAAACAACUGUAACUCAGAAACUCUGCCUGUUCCUGUUCAACAGGAAACAAAUGGACUUGAGUGUUACGUCUGUCUCUUCUUCUCUGGAACCAACGUUUGUACAGCACUUACUGUCAAAUGUAAAGGAGCACAGGAUCGCUGCUUUAUUGGAUCUGCCUCAACUGAUAAUGGAGUUCUACCUGUUGCUGGCUGCACAUCAACAGAUGUAUGUGAUAUUGCUCCUGAUCACGGUGUACUGCCAUUUAUGGAAGAAGUGGGAAAUCUAA
rnacentral:lncRNA from 1 species